GUAUAGCUCAGUUGGUUAGAGCGUGGUGCUGAUAACACCAAGGUCAUAGGUUCCAUCCCCAUGUGGGACA
rnacentral:tRNA from 1 species